rnacentral:rRNA from 1 species
AUUGAACGCUGGCGGCGGGCUUAACACAUGCAAGUCGAGCGGGGUGAUGGUGCUUGCACUAUCACUUAGCGGCGGACGGGUGAGUAAUGCUUAGGAAUCUGCCUAUUAGUGGGGGACAACAUCUCGAAAGGGAUGCUAAUACCGCAUACGUCCUACGGGAGAAAGCAGGGGAUCACUUGUGACCUUGCGCUAAUAGAUGAGCCUAAGUCGGAUUAGCUAGUUGGUGGGGUAAAGGCCUACCAAGGCGACGAUCUGUAGCGGGUCUGAGAGGAUGAGCCGCCAAACUGGGACUGAGACACGGCCCAGACUCCUACGGGAGGCAGCAAUGGGGAAUAUUGGACAAUGGGGGGAACCCUGAUCCAGCCAUGCCGCGUGUGUGGAGAAGGCCUUAUGGUUGUAAAGCACUUUAAGCGAGGAGGAGGCUCUUUUGGUUAAUACCCAAGAUGAGUGGACGUUACUCGCAGAAUAAGCACCGGCUAACUCUGUGCCAGCCGCCGCCGUAA